UACGUAGGGUGCGAGCGUUGUCCGGAAUUAUUGGGCGUAAAGGGCUCGUAGGCGGUCUGUCACGUCGGGAGUGAAAACCCAGGGCUCAACCCUGGGCCUGCUUCCGAUACUGGCAGACUAGAGGUAUGCAGGGGAGAAUGGAAUUCCUGGUGUAGCGGUGAAAUGCGCAGAUAUCAGGAGGAACACCGGUGGCGAAGGCGGUUCUCUGGGCAUUACCUGACGCUGAGGAGCGAAAGUGUGGGGAGCGAACAGG
rnacentral:rRNA from 1 species